AACGAACGCUGGCGGCAUGCCUAACACAUGCAAGUCGAACGAGGGCUUCGGCCCUAGUGGCGCACGGGUGAGUAACGCGUGGGAACCUGCCCUGUGGUACGGAAUAACUCCGGGAAACUGGAGCUAAUACCGUAUGUGUCUUGAGGGACAAAGAUUUAUCGCCAUGGGAUGGGCCCGCGUAGGAUUAGCUUGUUGGUGGGGUAACGGCCUACCAAGGCUUCGAUCCUUAGCUGGUCUGAGAGGAUGAUCAGCCACACUGGGACUGAGACACGGCCCAGACUCCUACGGGAGGCAGCAGUGGGGAAUAUUGGACAAUGGGCGCAAGCCUGAUCCAGCAAUGCCGCGUGAGUGAUGAAGGCCUUCGGUUGUAAAGCUCUUUCGCACGCGACGAUGAUGACGGUAGCGUGAGAGAAGCCCCGGCUAACUUCGUGCCAGCAGCCGCGGUAA
rnacentral:rRNA from 1 species